GAAUAAACUGGGUGGGUUGUUGCUGUCCCUCUCGGGGGAACUGUGCACGCCUUACCUUUUUUGUUUUUCCACCUGUGAACACACUGUAGGUCUGGAGGGAAGGGAAGCAAUUCCUUGACGUUCAGGUCCUAUGCUUAUACAUAUACACUAUUGAAAGUAACAGAACGAUUCAAUGGGCUCUAAGCCUAUAAACUAUAUACAACUUUCAGCAACGGAUCUCUUGGCUCU
rnacentral:misc_RNA from 1 species